AAAAAUGAAGUCGUGUGCGCAUCCCAUUUCCCACGUGCUAUUUCAAGUUCAACAGUCACAAAGACCAGAGUACAGUAUAUAUAUAACCAGCCUUCGAGCAAAACUCAAAACCCCACUCCGCCGCCGCCGCCCCUCUUUCUCCUCCGGCUCCAACCAAAUCUCCAAAAUGUCCACUUUCACCCACCAACACAAUGGCCUCCUCCUCAAGACGCCCCUCCCCGGCCGGUCUCGGGACCCCGUGUCCAGGUUCCGACCCGGUCCAUUCACAGUCCGAAUGUCUCUCCAGGAGACCGGUCCAUCACUCGCCGUGGUCGGCGUCACCGGCGCAGUCGGUCAGGAGUUCCUCUCCGUCCUCCAAGACCGCGACUUUCCUUUCCGUUCAAUAAAGAUGCUCGCCUCCAAGCGCUCCGCGGGUCAGAACUUGAACUUCCUCGGCCAAGACUACGUCGUUGAGGAGCUCACCCACGACAGCUUUGACGGCGUCGAUAUCGCCCUCUUCAGCGCCGGCGGGUCAAUCAGCAAGGAGUUCGGUCCCGUAGCCGUAGAGCGCGGCACCAUUGUCGUUGAUAACAGCUCUGCUUUCCGGAUGCAAAAUGGCGUGCCGCUUGUGGUCCCUGAAGUCAAUCCGGAGGCUAUGGAGGGAAUCAAGGUUGGGAAGGGAAAGGGGGCGCUCAUUGCUAACCCUAAUUGCUCCACCAUUAUUUGUUUAAUGGCUGUCACUCCUCUCCAUCGCCAUUCCAAGGUAAAACGAAUGGUGGUUAGCACAUAUCAGGCUGCUAGUGGAGCUGGUGCUGCUGCCAUGAGAGAGCUUGAGCUGCAAACUAAGGAGGUCCUGGAAGGGAAGCCACCAACCACUAAGAUAUUUUCGCGACAGUAUGCGUUUAAUUUGUUUUCGCACAACUCGGCAGUUCUUUCGAAUGGAUAUAAUGAAGAGGAAAUGAAACUAGUCAAGGAGACACGAAAAAUAUGGAGUGACAAUGAUGUCAAGGUAACUGCCACAUGUAUACGAGUUCCUGUCAUGCGGGCGCAUGCUGAGAGUAUAAAUCUUCAGUUUGAGAACCAACUUGACGAGAGUUCUAAAUCUGUUCACUGUCCAGGACACAGCAAGGGAAAUUCUGAAGAAAGCGCCUGGGCUGGUUGUUAUUGAUGACCGGACAGCGAAUAACUUCCCUACACCGUUGGAGGUGUCAAACAAGGACGAUGUUGCAGUAGGCAGAAUCCGUCGUGAUGUGUCCCAAGAGGGGAACUAUGGGUUGGAUAUCUUUGUCUGCGGUGAUCAAAUACGCAAGGGAGCUGCACUUAAUGCUGUUCAGAUUGCCGAGAUGUUGAUAUAGUUAACUUCAAUUUCAAGGGCGACGUUUUUCUAUAUAAAUCUAUAUGAGAGGUGAGAUGAAGUGAUUUGAGUUGACUGUUUUAGUCUUCAGAUGUAGGCACAAGUUGAAAUCGAGCAAAUUAAGGCAGUUUCAUUGUUUAUUUUUGUAGAAUAAGAUAUCAGCAGCCGACCUCACUUAGUGGGAUCCGGCUUUGUUAUCGUAGAAUAAGAUAUUAGGCUUAUCAGUAAUUCAUUUAAGUGCAAUUGUUAGCAUAAUAUCCUUCCUUCUAGAGGGGGAAUUUUUGUUAUAAUGAUCUUGUAUUUUAAGAGAAUAUUUCACUC